CCUCGGGAGGCAGCAGUGGGGAAUUUUCCGCAAUGGGCGAAAGCCUGACGGAGCAACGCCGCGUGAGGGAUGAAGGCCUCUGGGCUGUAAACCUCUUUUAUCAAGGAAGAAGAUCUGACGGUACUUGAUGAAUAAGCCACGGCUAAUUCCGUGCCAGCAGCCGCGGUAAUACGGGAGUGGCAAGCGUUAUCCGGAAUUAUUGGGCGUAAAGCGUCCGCAGGCGGCCUGACAAGUCUGCUGUUAAAGCGUGGAGCUUAACUCCAUUUCAGCAGUGGAAACUGUCAGGCUUGAGUGUGGUAGGGGCAGAGGGAAUUCCCGGUGUAGCGGUGAAAUGCGUAGAUAUCGGGAAGAACACCAGUGGCGAAAGCGCUCUCUGCUGGGCCAUCACUGACGCUCAUGGACGAAAGCCAGGGGAGCGAAAGGGAUUAGAUACCCCUGUAGUCCUGGCCGUAAACGAUGAACACUAGGUGUCGGGGGAAUCGACCCCUCCGGUGUCGUAGCCAACGCGUUAAGUGUUCCGCCUGGGGAGUACGCACGCAAGUGUGAAACUCAAAUGAAUUGACGG
rnacentral:rRNA from 1 species